CCCAACCCCUCCCCCAACAACACCUACCCUUCCCACAGGAUGUCCCGACAGCCCAGCUCAAACACCAUCCUCCUCCCUCGCUAGCCUAGCCACCCCUCAAUUGCCCCAGUCAAUUCUCUUUCCCCUUCUCUUGCUCACCAAUUCCAUUUCUCAAAGCCCAGCAAUAUCAUUUUCUCAACUCUUGUAGAUCUCCCUCAACCCCCCCUUUCUUAACUAUUACCAAUCGAUCUUCAUUCUUUGGAAGAGAAAGAUGAAGAUGAAUGGACCCAAUCCAUCUUCAUUCAAAUAACAUAGAGAAACUUAUGAGAACAACAGAGGGCCGCGAGGCCGAAUCCGCUCAAAUGGUGUCAAACGAAG
rnacentral:lncRNA from 1 species